CUGCAAGCUGUUCUGUUUGCCUUUGGGACACUAUAUAAAGGCUUCCCUUGGCUGAGUAGCAUCAGCACUUUCUACCUCUUUUAGUUCUGUGUUCUACAACUGAGGGGCUGAUUUCUACUCAGCUCAACUUCUUUAAAAGAAUCUUCCUUUAUUCUAAACUUUAAAGGACGUAGAAGAACCAAGCAGGAGAUCAGUGUGUGCCAACUUCAGGAGGCCUUCUAAUCUACAUUUUUGCUUUCUUAUUCUUGGACUCUUCAACUUCAUUGGAUCUUUUUCACCCGCCAGAGGGAAGCCUCACUUCCUCGUCCUAUCCAGCUCAAAAUGUCACUGUCCCAGAUCACAGGACUGCUUGGAGGUGGGAUACUAUAUAUCGUCAUUUCUGCUAUUGUCCUUCUGUCCAGGUCUGCAUUCGGGACUGGUAACACCCAUCGGGAAACAGGUCCUAACAAUUACUCAUAUGGAGACCCGAAAACAUAUGGAAACCAUUCGAAGAAAAAUUAAGAAAAAUCCACCAUGUAAUUAAGCAAAUCUAAAGAUUCCAAAGAGCAUCUAUCACUGGAACCCAAUGAAGGCCACCUCCUUCUGUGCUUUCAUAACCCAGGAUCUCCCUUUCCUUAGAAAUGAGGAAAUAACCCAUUGUUUGCACCUUGAAUCUUGUGAUUUGAUUCAAUUUGAUAAAUC